rnacentral:misc_RNA from 1 species
UCUCCGUUGGUGAACCAGCGGAGGGAUCAUUACAGAGUUGCAAAACUCCCAAACCAUUGUGAACGUUACCUAUCCCGUUGCUUCGGCGGGCGGCCCGGGCCCCGCGCCCGGCGCCACCCGGCCCCCCGUGGGCGCCCGCCGGAGGUAAACCAAACCCUUGAAUUGUAUGGCCUCUCUGAGUCUUCUGUACUGAAUAAGUCAAAACUUUCAACAACGGAUCUCUUGGUUCUG